rnacentral:rRNA from 1 species
AACGCUGGCGGCGUGCUUAACACAUGCAAGUCGAACGAAGAGCGAUGGAAGCUUGCUUCUAUCAAUCUUAGUGGCGAACGGGUGAGUAAACGCGUAAUCAACCUGCCCUUCAGAGGGGGACAACAGUUGGAAACGACUGCUAAUACCGCAUACGAUCUAAUCUCGGCAUCGAGGAUAGAUGAAAGGUGGCCUCUACAUGUAAGCUAUCACUGAAGGAGGGGAUUGCGUCUGAUUAGCUAGUUGGAGGGGUAACGGCCCACCAAGGCGAUGAUCAGUAGCCGGUCUGAGAGGAUGAACGGCCACAUUGGGACUGAGACACGGCCCAGACUCCUACGGGAGGCAGCAGUGGGGAAUCUUCCGCAAUGGACGAAAGUCUGACGGAGCAACGCCGCGUGAGUGAUGACGGCCUUCGGGUUGUAAAGCUCUGUUAAUCGGGACGAAAGGCCUUCUUGCGA